GGAAGGAAGGAAGGGGCAGAACGAUAAAGGCCUUGACCUGUGGAGAGGCCCCUGCUGGAAGGGCGAAGGGGGAGCAAUUAGGAGGUAUCCAUAAAUGAGUGAAAAAAGAGGCUUUCCUGGCCCAAAAUCUAUCUAUGUAUGACACAAAUGCCAGGCGACUGCAGUGCAACUUUUGUUGCAGCAACAGUAAACUGCAACAUCGAACAACUUCAACAGUAAUAUCAGCGGCAUUAAUAUUAAUUAAAUAAACGUUAAUUCAGCGCAUUAAUGCGUAAUAAAUAAUGCUCUUUUGAGGCAAAAAUUAAUGCAUAAAACGCUACUUAUCGCUGCCCGAUGGCCCGAUGCCCGAUGGCUGAUGCCGCCGCCACGCCACGCACUUAUCUGUGUCAACACAGAGAGCUGCAACAUGGAUGGAGGGAGGGGCAAAGCCUGACAAACGCAUUGUCAAUAGCCUAUAGAUCCGCCUCUGGUCCGCAUCGGAGUUGCAGCUGGAGCUGGAGCUGGAGCUGGAGUUGCAACUGAAGCUGGGACCUGGCGCUGGAGUCAGAGUUUGGAAUCGUUGUCGUCGCCAUCGACGUUGGUUGGCGCGUUGCAAUUACAUGUCUGUGACAAGAAUUUUAAAUGAAAAUCGCUGCGUAGUGCACUGGACAAAUGAUUCAAACUUUCGCAUUACGUGUGGAAAAUGUUUAAAACUCAGUGCCAGAGCCAGCGCCAGAGCCAGAGCCACAGAGCCACAGAGCCACAGAGGCUCGGAUUCGAUCUCAAUGGAGGCAGGCGCCAUGCCAUGCUCCAUGCCAGGCUGCGAGUCCGAGUGCGAGUCCGAGUCCGUGCUUUUUGUGCGCUUUGCAUGCCCAAGGAGCGGAGGAGCAGCGGAGCCGAGCGCCGAGAGCCGCUGGCGACGCGACGCAUGAAAUUAGAAAGGCAUUAUUGCAAAUCUCUCGCUUUAUUUAUCAGCAAUUUGUCAGCAAGUGUGCUGUGCGGCACGGAUUAAAGUGGCAGGCCGCCACGGCAGUGUCGCCUCUCUGCUGGCUCUCUGUUGCCUUUCUAAUGCAAUGCAAUUGACACGGGCGAGUGCAUCUACGCACAAAUUACUCGAGAAAUCAAGCACUCUACACUCUACAGAGGUAAAGAGAGUACUGUACACCGCACUUCUCUCUCUCUCUCUCUCUCUCUCCCCCUCUCUGUGUGGGUCAAGUGCAUUCGUUAAUGAACUCUGGGAUAACCAUCGACCCACGCCACUGGCCGCCAGCUGAUUUAUGGCCCAUGCUGUGGCACAGCAACGGCCACAGCAGCAGCAGCAGCAGGAGGAGCAGCAUUAGAACUCAUACUCUGGCCAACUAUUCAGGAGAUCUGGGAGCACAGUAGAGUGAAGGCACGGACUGCUGCGACGAGGAGGAGACCAGAGCGGGGAACACAGCUACCGUGCUGGGACGAGGACUGCGACUGCGACUGGGACUGGGACGGCGACGGCGACUACAACUGGGGCCGGGGAGGGACAUAUGGAGGCUGGAGGCGCAGCCACAAUAAAUCAUCACAUCGAAGGAAGGCUAGUGGAGGUGGAGAACAGUGUGGCAGGGGCAGGCGGGUACGAGUAACUGCGGCCAAGUUAUGUGGCUUCAUUGUGGACAGAAUGAACGCUUUUAAGCAGACAAUUGCAGCCUGGGGCGCAGCCACAACAGGUAGGCGAUGAAGGAAGAGGAGCCUCCGUCCGUGGACUGCAGUCAGCGAUGGACUGUGAUGGUCUGCAGCGGAGGGAGGGGGAAACACUCUCUCCAUAGUGCAACGCACCUCCCACUACCCCUGGCUAUUGUUUGCUCCCGUUCCUCCGACACUGCCGGACGGCUGGAGCUUGCCACAGAUUUUCGUAGGCCGCACUGCGGGCAUAAAUCAUUUGGGUAUGCUGCUGCUCUGCUCCUGCCCGUGCUCCUGCUGCCCCUGUGCCUGAUGCUCCGACUCCGACUCCGGCUCCUGCUGCUGCUCCCCAGCCUACUCCUCCACUGCUUGCAACUUGCAACAUGCUGCAAUAUGAGUUAAUUUCUAGAGCCCGGAUCUGAGAUCUCUGGGCCAGGAAUGGGCACUGCACUCCCCUCCACUUGGCACUGGACGUUGGCCGCUGGACGCUGGACGCUGGAAACUGGUGUGUACCUAUCGCUUGUGGGGCGACACAAUAUGUGGGUGGAUGUGGCAUAUUUAUGGCCCGCCUGGCAUUAUAAAUUUUCCAUUAACCUGCCCCCUAGGCUCAUUGAGAUUUGCAUUGAAUGCAGGCAGUGUCUGUUUGUCUGUUCGGUCUGUCCGUCUGCUGAUAGCGCAUUAUCUAUUUAAGGCUUUAAUUUUAUUUUUGUGGCCAAAAAUGUACGCAAAAUAAGUGCGCGAGCAGCGCCUUCUAUGGGUUAUGGGAGUCAGAGUCAUAGUCAGAGUCAGUCCCUGCCACAGCUACGGACCUGCCCCAAUCCCAAUCCCGAUCCCCUGUGUGGGGAGGGGGGCUCGCUUUGCAUGCAAUUGACUUGAAUGUAGAAAAGUGGAUGCAUAGCUGGUGCGAUGUCUGCUGCUGCUGCUGCUGCAUCUCAUUGAACCCCGACAAAUUGGUCAUAAUUUUAAGCAACUAAUCCCAAUAAACAUGGCCCAAACAUUGUGCCACUGACAUUAAGCUGCCAGCUCUAUGGACGACUGGACUGCCUCUCGACUGCUUUCGGGGACUGCUGCGACGACUUACGGUCCCAGUAAGCCAAGUAAGUAGCCAACUAAUAAAAUGCCAUUUAUCUGUGCAUCGAUCAGGCCACUGCCCCAGGUACAAGCACAGGUGGAUGGUGGGGGAUGGCGGUAAAGGGGAUAGCGGAAGCGGAAUGGCCAUAAACUUGGCCAUAGAAAUCGAAGCGCAACGAAUCGAUUUGGGCAGCAGUCAAACAUAAAUUACAGAUGAACAGGAGUUCAAAUCGAAAACGAAGCCCGGUGGAUUUAUGCGACGAGUCAAUGACUAGACAAAGGUUAAUCAGAUGGGUCAUCAAAGCGGCCACUGCCUACUGGAGGAUCAUAGAUACCAGAUAGAUAGAUAGAUAGAUAGAUAGAUACUCUUGCCACACGAUGGACGCCUGCUUCUGAUUUACCUAAGGAGAGAGUACGACACGUGAGAGGUGCACAUGGUCAUGCCUCAACCCGCUACCCACAGUCCACAGUCCACAACCCACGCAUGGUCAAUCAGUGGGUCUCUGAUUGGGUUCACACGCUGCCCCUUAUCGAUGCGUGUGUGUGUGUGUGUGUGCGAGAGAUACAAUUUGGUUGGGGCACGAACUUUAAACUCUCGCUGGGCAAACAGUAAUUUUUCAAUUGUGCACACACUCAAGCAACCUCAACCUCAUAUUGCGUCACAAUGCAAAACGCUUAUCGCUGCAGUAAAGUAUCUUGUGGAUGCGGUCUGGCUAUGGCU